rnacentral:lncRNA from 1 species
UGCGGCCCAUGGAGCCAGAGUUGAAAUGACAGGAUCAGAUGGAAUGGUCUACAUUUCAGAGCACUGUCCUGAGGCCACAGACAAGAAUGUCAGAAAAGCAGGUGAACACCUGGCACAUAGAAACCAAGAGGAAAGGGAAUUCCGGCAGGGUACCAUCCGAGCCUCUAUCAAGUUGAAAUCCAUCUUGCCUCUCAACAAAUGAAGAACUUUGAGCACUCAUCAGACAGCAAAAAGGAGAGGCACCUUCCCCAUCAUAAUAGGGAAGAGUAGGUUG